GAGAAGAUAGGUUGAGGCUUCCACAAAGAAAAAGAAUAAAUCAUCUGAUGCUCAAAUUGAGAGGGAGCAAGAGGGAGACAUGCACAUCACAUUAAAAGAAAAUUGCAAAACAUUGUUGAUUACCGUCAAGCAGAUCCAACAAAGAAUUGUCAAAUCCAAUAAGUAUCAACAAGUGUUUGUCAUCAUCAAAAAGAGGGACAUUGAAGA
rnacentral:lncRNA from 1 species